GAGACAGAGAUAGCAAUUUGAUUUUGAGGGUCCUUCACCAUUCUCUUUGAUUUUCGGGUUGUGGCCUACUUCCUCUCAAAAGAGAUGAAGUGGAAUUUUUCACAAUGUAGAGACUCUAAUUUCAUCACAGCAAAGACCCCAGCUUCUUUUCCAAUGUCCUUCUUCAGCAACCCACGGGAUUAUUUUCUGCUUUCUGUUAUGCACAGCGAAAGACCAAAUCUAUAUAGUUUAGAAGCUGUCUGCAUAUUCUAGCAAUAGCAAAGUGAAAAGCCGAUAAAGGUAAUCGUAAAUGUGCACACAGAGAUGGAUGAAGAGAGAUUAAGAGAGGAAUUCUAGGACUGUCAAACUACUACCAUGUCAAAUCAUUACCCACCUUCAACCCUGCCUCUUGACACCUUCAUAUACUGCAAGAACCAUUACCAGUACAGGUAUUUUUAACAACAAAAAUUUGUGUUAAAUAUUAUUUAGGUUUUGUUAUUUGUUAGUUUUUUUUAGAUUUAAUUUUGUGAAAAAUAAUUAUUAAUAUAACUCAUAUUUGUAGUCUAAUUAUUGUGUUGAUGGUUUAAUUAGGCCGACAACCGUUCACAGCUGCUUAUGCUUCACAGUCAUCAUUCUUUUGAAUCCUUGGAGGGGUGAGCUUCAGUAAUUUGAAAUAAAAUGAUUUAGAAAGAAGAUAAAGUUUUUCACUUACCAAAAAAAGGAAAGAAGAUAAGGUUUUA